GGAGAUGUUAUUUACCUGGACGGGGCAAGUCACAGGGCUAGCAACUGGUUACGGUUUCUUAACUGUGCUCGGGGUCAAUGUGAAGAGAACGUCCUUGUUAGAAAUAUCCCAGGUGGAAUACAGUAUUAUUCGUAUAAACCAAUUGGGUUGGGAGAGGAAUUACUAGUUUUCUACGGAGAGGAAUAUUUCGAAGAGUUGGGGUAUUCUUUGCAGACUGAUGUUGAAAAUGGUCAGCAAUAUCAUUGUACUGCAACUGGUUGUCUGAAGCUGUUUAAGACACAGCAAGAGCUGAAGACACACACAUGUGGGAAGACUCGGAGAGUGUCAGGAAAAGAGAAAGUGCACAAGUGUGACACGUGUGGGAAGAUGUUUUCUGACAGGAGUAACUUAGCUAGGCACAUCAGAACAGUACACAAUAAGGUAGCGAGACACAGCUGUCCCUACUGUAAAUAUAAAACAGAUCACCAACAUCACCUCACAUAUCACAUGUUAACACACACAGGGGAUAAGCAGUACAAGUGUAUACACUGUGACUAUACUGCUAUUUUGAAGCAGAAUCUCACUGUUCACAUCUACAAUAACCACACUAACAAGACAUACAGGUGUGGGUACAAGCAGUGUGGUGUUAAGAAACCUUCUGAACAGGAACUAUAUGAUCAUAUCAGUACAGAGCAUCCACUGCAACAAUACAGAUGUGAUGUGUGUCCAAUGUCUUUUAACGUACCUUAUGCUCUUGAAUCACACAAGCGAAGACAUGGUGAUCGUGAGCUAGAAUCAAAGCACGAGUGUAAGUACUGUGGAAAACUGUUUUUACAAUCAGGUCAUCUGAAGAAACAUG